rnacentral:rRNA from 1 species
AAAACGGAGAGUUUGAUCCUGGCUCAGGAUGAACGCUGGCGGUAUGCUUAACACAUGCAAGUCGAACGGAGUUCUUCGGAACUUAGUGGCGGACGGGUGAGUAACGCGUGAGAAUCUGGCUUCAGGUUCGGGACAACAGUCGGAAACGAUUGCUAAUACCGGAUGUGCCUAACGGUGAAAGAUUUAUCACCUGAAGAUGAGCUCGCGUCUGAUUAGCUAGUUGGUGUGGUAAGAGCGCACCAAGGCACCGAUCAGUAGCUGGUCUGAGAGGAUGACCAGCCACACUGGGACUGAGACACGGCCCAGACUCCUACGGGAGGCAGCAGUGGGGAAUUUUCCGCAAUGGGCGAAAGCCUGACGGAGCAAUACCGCGUGAGGGAGGAAGGCUCUUGGGUUGUAAACCUCUUUUCUCAGGGAAUAAGUACUGAAGGUACCUGAGGAAUCAGCAUCGGCUAACUCCGUGCCAGCAGCCGCGGUAAUACGGAGGAUGCAAGCGUUAUCCGGAAUGAUUGGGCGUAAAGCGUCCGCAGGUGGUUAUUCAAGUCUGCUGUCAAAGAAUCUGGCUCAACCAGAUAAAGGCAGUGGAAACUGAGUGACUAGAGUAUGGUAGGGGUAGAGGGAAUUCCUGGUGUAGCGGUGAAAUGCGUAGAGAUCAGGAAGAACACCGGUGGCGAAAGCGCUCUGCUGGACCAUAACUGACACUGAGGGACGAAAGCUAGGGGAGCGAAUGGGAUUAGAUACCCCAGUAGUCCUAGCCGUAAACGAUGGAUACUAGGCGUUGCCCGUAUCGACCCGGGCAGUGUCGUAGCCAACGCGUUAAGUAUCCCGCCUGGGGAGUACGCACGCAAGUGUGAAACUCAAAGGAAUUGACGGGGGCCCGCACAAGCGGUGGAGUAUGUGGUUUAAUUCGACGCAACGCGAAGAACCUUACCUGGGCUCGAAAAUGGUCGAACCUGCCUGAAAGGGCGGGGUGCCCGCAAGGGAGCGGCUAUCAGGUGCUGCAUGGCUGUCGUCAGCUCGUGUCGUGAGAUGUUGGGUUAAGUCCCGCAACGAGCGCAACCCUCGUUCUUAGUUGCCAGCAAUUCGGUUGGGCACUCUAGGGAGACUGCCGGUGACAAACCGGAGGAAGGUGGGGAUGACGUCAAGUCAGCAUGCCCCUUACGUCCUGGGCUACACACGUACUACAAUGCUGUGGACAAAGGGCAGCAAGCUAGCAAUAGCAAGCAAAUCCCAUAAACCACGGCUCAGUUCAGAUCGCAGGCUGCAACUCGCCUGCGUGAAGGAGGAAUCGCUAGUAAUUGCAGGUCAGCAUACUGCAGUGAAUUCGUUCCCGGGCCUUGUACACACCGCCCGUCACACCAUGGAAGCUGGUCACGCCCGAAGUCGUUACCCUAACCUUUCGAGGAGGGGGACGCCGAAGGUAGGACUGGUGACUGGGGUGAAGUCGUAACAAGGUAGCCGUACCGGAAGGUGUGGCUGGAUCACCUCCUUUUUA